AUGGUUGUCGUCAGCUCGUGUCGUGAGAUGUGGUUAAGUCCCGCAACGAGCGCAACCCUACUUGCUAGUUACCAUCAUUAAGUUUGGGGACUCUAGCGAGACUGCCAGUGAUAAACUGGAGGAAGGUGGGGAUGACGUCAAAUCAUCAUGCCCCUUAUGACCUGGGCUACAAACGUGAUACAAUGGCUGGAACAAAGGGAUGCGAAGCAGUGAUGUGGAGCGAAACCCAUAAAAACAGUCUCAGUUCGGAUUGAAAUCUGCAACUCGACUUCAUGAAGUCGGAAUCGCUAGUAAUCGCGGAUCAGAACGCCGCGGUGAAUACGUUCUCGGGGUUU
rnacentral:rRNA from 1 species